AAAGAGGGCUAUAAAUCACAGUGAAGCAGUAUGUAAGUCUAAGUGCCAUUGCUAUUGCUAUUUUAAUUUUCUAAUCUGGUGUUCAACAUUCUCCACAAAUCAACACAUUAAAAAAGUGUAUUUCCAAGGGCCUAAAUUUCACAAAUUACAACUAAUUCCAUAGAUUGUGGCCAGCACUGAAUAGAUUUUAAUUUUCCAGUCAACUGAAGAAAGAAAACUGUUCAAUUUUGAAGUAUGAAAAAUACAUUUUUUUCAAACAAUGACAAACUUGGAAUACCAGAACAUCAUUUUAUUUUUAUAAAAAUAAGGCCAAAUUUAAGCUUACUUCUCAAUAUCACCCAAAUAUGUAUAGCAUCCUUUAAAAAUUAAAAAUGGCUGAUUUUAGCUAACAUUGAUAUCAUCAAAGUCAGCUAAUGACUUCCUAUUCUAGCUGAUUUUUUUCAGCAACAUACUUGAAAUUGUUCAAAUAGAAACAGAUUCAAGUCUAGAGAUUAUAAAAAUAUAUGGAGCAAGAAAUGGCUCUAACAACCUAGAAAUUAAGAGAAAUAGUGAUAACAAUAUAUUCAAACUACCUCAAUAAUGCAGGAUAUGAUUAGAUGGUGAGUCAAAGCACUAACAUAUGCAGUAUGCCUGGAAGCAUGCAGUUUCAUUUUAUUUUUCAUAUAUCUAACAAAUAUAUAACAUAGUAUAGCAUACAGUAGCACAGAACCAAGUUUGGACUCAUUGUUUUGUUACUAUAGCCAUGCAUUUUUAAUUUAAGUACUGGUAUCUUUUAUUUCCUAAGUAUUCUGCUUGAAAAAGAUAAUAAUGUCUUCUAAUAAAUAUUGAGCUGUGGCUGAUUGGUUUCUCUUUCUUGUUUUCUCCAGUUGUGGACCAUUGAAUAUUGGUCUUCCAUUAAUUCUAUUUUUAUCAAAUACUGAGAAAAUGAAGACAAAGGGCCAAUGUCUGCCAUUUUUCUUCUUGUUCUACCAAAAAAUUAUCUGUUUCCAAUGUUAAUUUGGAAUACUGACUCCUCUUUCACUAUUCCGGUGGUUAGUAUUUUGACAAAUAGGUUUACUACUUAUUUUUUAAAUGAAUUGAAACAUGUUUGCAUUUAAGCUGUGAAGUCCUCACAAAUAUUGUUCCAAAGAGAAUAAAAUCUCAAAUAAAACAUUUUUUGAAUGUCUAUAUUUUAGGAACAACAGCAGCAGGGAAAUGAGCCAUCUAAAGUUUUCGCUCCUAUUAGGCCCGUUUCAUUUUUAAACAUGCCACAACUUAUUGUACUUAUUAUUACAAUAAAAACACCAAGAGGGAGUAAGAGAGGAAAAUAUCACUGCUUCCAAAAAUAAUAAAACUCCAUUGAAAAGACUGAAAAUAGCAUCUAAUACUAUUUGCCAGUUAUGCAGAUUUAUUCCAGAUAACCAGAAUAUAUCUUUCCCCAAAUGGGACAGGAAAUCUACUUCCUGGAAAGCAUUGGCUCUGAACUGUUGAUGGCACCACUAUCAAAACUUGCAACUGUUAAAAUUAAGAUUGUUUGAAAUAGUUGAUGUUCAGAAAUAUUUGCUGGUGUUUCAGAGACAUAUUCUGUAAGAGAGAAGACCUGAGCUCAUAGAACAUUUACCUUCGAUAACCUUUCAUAUAUUCCUGACCCUUUAUUAGCUUCCACUACUGCAAGAACCAUAAGGCUGAUUUCAAACAUCCAGCAACACAGGUUUGCAGCACAAAAUAUUGCACUUCUGACAUCAGAAUUAUGCCCAACGGUGGAAAAAUGUUAAACUUGUCCUGUGUCAAUGCAAUAUAUUAGAAUGCACCAGCUUUGUUAUGUUCCAUUCAAUAAAACCUGCAAAAUUCUUUUGGAUUGGCUAAUUUUACAGGAAGCCAUAGCUCAGAAAUCCCAUUCCUUUCUUUUUAAUGGACAUCUGUCCUUAUAAACAAAUCUAAAAUCAAUCUGACUACAUACGGUAAGUUACAAAACAAUUUGUACAUGAAACUCUAGGAAAAAUGUUUUGUGUUCAUGACUUCCAUCCUGUAUUGUCAGAAGACUUGAACUCAGCAGAAAUAAAUAAUUAGGAAAUAAAAUACAAGAAAACCACUGAAAAAAUAAAUUAGUUUAUUCCAUUUAGAUAUUCUGAAAGUCACUUGAACUAAAAAAACAAAUAUAAUUUUUUUCUUCUAAUUUCUUCAUGGAAUUUUUUUGGGUGCUAAUGAGAAUGUACUUGUUCAAAUGCUGGAAAAUCUAUUAUAAAUAUUGGUGUGAUUUCAAAACUAGACAAUAAAGUGUCACAUACUGUAUAAAGGAUUUAAGGAAAUUGGCUAUCUCUGGUUCCAAAUAUAAGUAAUGUUUAAAAUCCUGACUGGUCUUUCUUAGAACAAUUUAUUUGCAAUAAUAUAUGUCUAUUUAGAAAUAAAUUCCAAACAAUUGAGGGGGGGGGGGGUAUUACAGAUUAUUAUGUAUAGGAUUCCUGCUAGAAGGAUAAAAUGUUUAUGCACUUUCCCAAACAACAAGCCAGAAUGGCUUUGUGGAUGUUAUCUUUCAAAAGCAACAGAAAAGAAGCUUGAAUUAGUCAGGAGGGACUUUAUCAUGACAACUGUUGGUAGACAAACUCUGCCAAAUGUAAGUAGAGAAAACACAGGAGGAUCAAUUAUCAAUACUAAUAAUUAGGAAGCACUCAGGAACCGAAGGGAAAACAAUGGGUAUUUUAGGGAAAAUGUUUAUGAAAUACCAUGUUAUUUGAAUUUCAGAAAAAGUUAAAGUUGGUGGUGUCAAAUAUCAUUCCUUGUCUCCUUGUCAAGGAAGGAAAUGUUAUAGUAAACACAGCAAUCAUAAGUAAGAUUCCUAAAUUCCUAUUUAGGGGUGAAAACAGGGGCAGGUUAAGGAAGAG